AGGAUUACCAGUCUGGUGCCAGGCAGGAUCAGGUGGGCUCCCAGGACAGGGACCAAGCUGGAGACUAAGAAAAACUCAACCUUGGACCACAGGCCCAGCAGGAGUGAGUCAUAGACAGACUAUACUCCCAAUGGGCCACUAGGAUGGGCAGCAAAGAACGAGUCUGAGACAACCACCAGACCAGAGACCACCAGACUAGUGCCAUGGGGCCCACACAGGGAGCUAGUCUGAGAUGACCACCAGUUCAGAGCCGCACAGGCCUGGAGAGGGGACAUGGUCCACUCCUGAGAUGAUCUGUGCCUGGCGCCUUAAUGCAUAGGUGGGGCAUAGCACUCCUGAAACCACCCCUGAGAUGACCCCGACAUGCAGAGACCUCAUACAUCAUUAAGAAGAGCAAGUCAGUCUUAACUAUAUCAAGUUACCCCACCUCAGAAGAUGGAAACAGACAGAGACAGAGGGACAGAGACAACAGGGAGACAGAGAAGAAACCACUGGGAUGGUCCAUCUUCUCUUCAUGGACAUUUCCAUAAAGGGUUACAUGGAGAGUGAACUGUCCUAAAGUGAGCACUCCAUGCAAAGGAUUGAAAGCAAGCCUGAAAGGAAAGAGAGAGUGAAAAAAAAAACCAGGUGAGUGGUGGCAUUACCUGAUGUGGAGAUGUGAGCAAGCAUUCUCCCACCAUUGUGCUUUCCCAGGUGUGAGGGCCUGUAUCCUCUAGACCACAGCCAAGGUCAACCUCUUCUUAUCUUCUGAGGAUAGAACAACAACACAGAGGAGAUGGGAACCAUGGAAAUGGGAGAGUUACCCAGAAGUG
rnacentral:sRNA from 1 species